UCGUGGAGAUACACGUUCCUCUGGAACCAU
rnacentral:sRNA from 1 species